rnacentral:rRNA from 1 species
AUUGAACGCUGGCGGCAUGCUUUACACAUGCAAGUCGAACGGUAACAGGUUAAGCUGACGAGUGGCGAACGGGUGAGUAAUGCAUCGGAACGUGCCCGAUCGUGGGGGAUAACGCAGCGAAAGCUGCGCUAAUACCGCAUACGAUCUGAGGAUGAAAGCGGGGGACCGUAAGGCCUCGCGCGAUCGGAGCGGCCGAUGUCAGAUUAGGUAGUUGGUGGGGUGAAGGCUCACCAAGCCAACGAUCUGUAGCUGGUCUAAGAGGACGACCAGCCACACUGGGACUGAGACACGGCCCAGACUCCUACGGGAGGCAGCAGUGGGGAAUUUUGGACAAUGGGCGAAAGCCUGAUCCAGCAAUGCCGCGUGCAGGAAGAAGGCCUUCGGGUUGUAAACUGCUUUUGUACGGAGCGAAAAGGUCUCCUCUAAUACAGGGGGCUCAUGACGGUACCGUAAGAAUAAGCACCGGCUAACUACGUGCCAGCCGCCGCCGUAA